AUUGAACGCUGGCGGCAUGCUUUACACAUGCAAGUCGAACGGUAACAGGUUAAGCUGACGAGUGGCGAACGGGUGAGUAAUGCAUCGGAACGUGCCCGGUCGUGGGGGAUAACACUUCGAAAGAAGUGCUAAUACCGCAUACGAUCUGAGGAUGAAAGCGGGGGACCGUAAGGCCUCGCGCGAUCGGAGCGGCCGAUGUCAGAUUAGGUAGUUGGUGGGGUAAAGGCUCACCAAGCCGACGAUCUGUAGCUGGUCUGAGAGGACGACCAGCCACACUGGGACUGAGACACGGCCCAGACUCCUACGGGAGGCAGCAGUGGGGAAUUUUGGACAAUGGGCGCAAGCCUGAUCCAGCAAUGCCGCGUGCAGGAAGAAGGCCUUCGGGUUGUAAACUGCUUUUGUACGGAGCGAAAAGGCUCCCUCUAAUACAGGGGGCUCAUGACGGUACCGUAAGAAUAAGCACCGGCUAACUACGUGCCAGCAGCCGCAGUAACAC
rnacentral:rRNA from 1 species